UGCCCAACAAUCCCUUCCAAAAAUGCCCAUGCAGGUAGCAAACACCUCAUAUAUUUCUUUCUGCCAUCCCCUCGCUACUGCUCCUUUCAGUCUCUCCCAUCCCCUUUGUCCAUCCUUUCCUUGUCCAAUCUCCCAAUUCCCCUCCUUCGUACUCGUAAUAAUACUACUAAGCCUUCUGAUAAUCAAACGAGAUCUAUCUCAAUGAGAAUUCGAGGCUCAAAGACUCCACCUUUGAACUCCUCUGCCCCUGCUGUCGCCGCCACUCCCACUCCCUCCCAGUCCCCUCCAUCAAAUUCCUCCUGUUCGAAUGAUCCCUCGUCCCACUGCGAAGGCCUCGAUCUCUUGGUGCUGGCCAUCAUCGAAGUCAAUGGAGACAGAGCUCUGGAUACCGAGAGGAAUGCAAUUAAUGGAGUUAAAGAGGAAGAUGAUAAAACCGAGAAGAGAAAGGAGGAGAAGGGCAAAGAAUUCGAAGUGGGUUCGAAACCAAAUAAGCGGAGGCGGCGGUUGGCAAUGCCUUCCAGGUACCAGGAUUCCGUGCUCCAGCCAUGGAAACGGCGAAGCCGCCGUCGACCAAUUGGGCCCAAACGAUCCGGAUAAGAGAAAAGUGGUUGAAAUUGGGGGUUUUGGAUUUGUGUAAUUGAGUCUUGCAUUAGAAGUUCAGCUUUGGAUACAAAGGUGUCCUCAAGCAUCCAUGCCUUCCAUAUCCAGCAUUAGCUUUAGCUUCAUGUCUGUAAAUUAAAACCAAUUUUUAUGAAUAUCAAGGUCUGUAAUAUAUUAAGUCGAUUCAUUGUUCAUCAGAAAGUAAAGUUCCAUAGUUUUUAGUUUUAAACAGUU